CCACGACAGGAAGAGAAGCUGCCAACACCAGAUGACCAACUCCUUUCCAGUUACAGACCACCCCAGUGAUGAGACCUCCAUAUGUUGUCUGAUGGCCGCAGUUCCUCAGCAAAUGGGUGGGGAAAAGGAAAGUUUUGUUGAGUGUGGGAGGCCACAGGGUGGAGGAGGCCAGGAAGGACCAGAAAGCACAUAGGACGUGACUUUAAGGAGAAGAAUUAUUUUGAACCAUGUCUUGUGUGCUGACAGCAUAAUGAUCAUUAUUAGGGCCUCAGAUGUAACAUGAAGCCUGCCCUGAAGUUAAAUUUUCCUUUUCAGAGAAGCAUGGCCUGUCAGCCCAGCAUCAGAUGGUUCCAUGCCGACCUCCUCCAUGGCUGGGGGUUGGAGUGCCCCAGCUGCUGCCUCCCUCGUAGCUUUCAUUAAAGGACUUUGCUUUUUUGGAAGAAGAGAAUAAUGAGAUGAUGAUGCAGAGCACUGGCAGAAUGUCUAGCAUAGAAGAAUCUGAGGAUUCGCCAUGCAUGCUUCCUGGAAUGGAAACCCACACUGCUGUUGUGAAGAAACCUGAUGAAACUCCAGCAACUUCUACCUCUGGCCUGCUGCUUAGUCCUGGGACCUGAGGUCAAAAUCAUAGAAAAGAGCCAUGUGAGAUGCGUUCCUUGGCCUCAUCUCUGUUCUUGAAUGCUGUCAGCAACACUCCCCGAGUUUUUACCCACAUGUUAACACUUUCCUCAGCAUGGAUAUGGAGGUGGGGGUGAGGAAUGUUCUAUUUUUCCUUCGAUGGUUAUGCCCUCACCCUACCAACUCAGUAAAAGGGGAGUAGUGGUCAGGGACCUUACUGAGAAUGUGUCCUAGCAUCUUUUCUCCCCCAGCACAGCCUCCAUAUGACCCAGCUGCCAUGAGAAGCUCGCCUCGCUUCUAAGGGAAUUACCCCUACCUUCCACUCCAUCCUCACCUUGCCCUGCCCAGAUUAGAGGCACAGAGGCAUGUACCACAGGCCUGAAAAACCGUCCAGCCAAAAAGCCUGACUGUCUUGAUGAGUCCUAUCAGGGUGUAGUUAUGGACAUGCCUAUUUCUGCUCUUCCCUUGGCAUUAGUUCUCUGCAAAGGGUGGCUCUUGCCCUCGGAUGGUCCAAAGAUAGUUUGGGGUGUGCAUGGAUGACCUUCACUCUUUAGAGUCGAACAGACAAUACUGCUCUUCUCCAACAGCCUCUGAAGGACACCACCUACUGCCUGUUUCUGAGAUGUUUGCUGCCCCAGAGUCUCCCACCUGCUUCUUCCUCCCUCUCAGUCCUCCCUUUUGUAGACUCUCAGCCUCCCUUCUCUUAAUACUCUUUGCACCCUUUCCUGGGUCUCUAUUUACCCUGCCUUCCCUUCCAGCGACCCCUUCCCAAACCACUGCUCCUUUCUUUCCAAUCCCUCCUCCCUUCCCAGCACUUUCACCUUCUAUUGAAUCUCUCAAGCCUCAUUCUGGCCCAACUCCUCCCCUCACCCUCUAUCCCUGCCCUUCUCAGAUCUGCCAAACACCUCAGGCCUGGCUGCCUCUGUCCUGUUCCCACCAAACCUCCUGGCCAUGCUUCUGUGCUCCUUGGGACCUGGGCUCACAUUUUCAAUCUCUUCUCUCCUAUUAGUACAGUUCUGUCUAGAGCCAUGAUUCUUCUCUACCUUUCACAGCUGUCUUCUUUCCCACUUAUAUGCGUUUAUUUUUUUAAGUAUGAAAAUAAAGUGCCAC